rnacentral:tRNA from 1 species
GCGUCGGUGGUUUAGUGGUAGAAUACUCGCCUGCCACGCGGGUGACCCGGGUUCGAUUCCCGGCCGACACA